rnacentral:lncRNA from 1 species
CAGUGUCAUUGGCAGCGUCGACGGCGUCACUUUGCGCACUGCCAAGUGCAGCCACCAGAACCGAAUCCAAUAUCCAAAUCACAGCCACACCACCCAGCCAACGAAACGGGGAAAGAAACGACAAGCAGGGCAGGGGCGAAUACACGCCCAACAGCUACAAUUGAAAAUUUUAUUUCAUUUUUAUGGCUUUUGGAAAUUAAAUUGUUGUCAUCGCAUACAAAAUUAACCAGAGCAGCGGGAUUUGCAUAGCCAGUCAAGAGGUGUGACCUCUAACCCCCACCAUCCAUCAUCCACCAUCUACCAUCUACCAUCUAGCAACUGGCACCCAACAGCCACACGACAUAGUCACCGAUGUUAUUGUUAUAGCCGCUGUAUCUCACCCGCUGGGCCUGCGGUCUUUAACAUUUAGCAAAACAUUUGAUUGCCAUCAGGAUAAUCCCGAGGGGAUGUCCCAGGACGCGAGGAUGUGGGCUGCCAGGAGCUGUUUGAUUGCCCGGGAGGAGUAUCACAUCUCCAUAAAGCUCACAAAGCCCGAGGCCUUAAAUAAAUGUUUAUUUUAAGCAAUAUAGUCAAGCAUUAAAAUGCAAAACUUAAAGACUGUCAACGAACUUUAACAAACGUGCACGAGCCAAAGUCAAGAGUAAAUAAGGCCUGGAAAAGAAAGCUGGGAGAAGCCACUUCGAUGGUCAGCAGCCAAAGUAAAAUCUUAGAUUUCCAACUUUAAGUUUCCCGACAGCCGGAGUCAAUUUGCAAUUAGAUGUUAUCCAAAGGCAAACGGACACCCAGGAAACGGGGAUUUGAACAAGGUCCCGCAUAAAAAACUAAACACACGCAGCAAUCAAUCGAUUAAAAAAGGGCAAAGGAGGAAAAGUUUUGAGCCGUCGGUGGGCGAUGGCACAGACCAGACUAGACGCGGAGGUGAGCGUGGACGAGGCGGACACCACCUAUGGUGUCCAGAUCGAGGUCCUGCCGGAAGGACACCCCAGGGACCCGCAGGCAGCUCAAGGAAGUCGCCUGGCUGGCUUUUGUCUAAUGCGCCGCUUAUCUUGAUAUUAUUUGGCCAUAAAAAAGGACACGGACACAUGGUCGAGGAAUGGGCACGGAUAACACUGGAAGAAACAUUUCACACAGUGAAUAAAAAAAGGUACAUUUAUUUUUGGUUAAACAUUUUUAUUCGUUGAAUUCACGCAUUUUGUUUGUCAACCUAUUUCAGAGAUCCGCGCAGCGCUCUUUUGGCUUACUGAUUAAAUGCCAAAUGUGCCAGAAUCAUAAUAUAACCGAGACAUCGAGAUGUUCUUAAAAAUCGUUGACAUUCUGCACCCAUUUUCCGGCUGUAACCCAAUCCUCCAGCCAAGUCAUUGUGCUCCUAAGGGCAAGGAAAAUUGCAACAUUUCACAUGUCACAACGAGGGCGAUUUCCCUACCACCCAAAAUAAAAUGGACCAUGUCGAAUCCUGCGGGUUCCGUUGAUUUCCUUGCCCGAAAAAAAAAAAAACCCAGCCACGCGCGUUUCAAAUCCCUUUAGUUACACUGUUUCAAAAUUAAAUAUUUACAUUUUGUAUGCGGAGGCGGAUGCGGCGGUCAUGAGGUCUGAAUCUCGAUUCACAUGUGGGUGUUUUGGCCGGAAUGGUGGUAUCUAGCUACUGGAUACACUGGACAUCUAAUCGGUCGGUGGUGGGCUGCCAGCUCCGUCAGCUGGCCGUGAGC